AUUCGAAAUAAUAAUCAAAGGGCAUGCAUAUAAAAAAAUAUUAAUAAUAAACCAACAAAAUGUUUUUUUAAAAUGAAUAACUACAUGGAUGAGCAUGAAUGGUUGUCUCUUUCUAUGCGUUAGCCCUGUGACAGUUUUGGAUGGAUGGAUGUCAUAAAUCACACGGACGCAGCUUUAUCACAGAAAUACUUAGAUGCUAUGCUGUAACUAUAAUUAUUCGUGGAGCUCAUAAGAUGUAAUGAAUGUAAUGAAGUGGUUCCAUAUUCUUACAGACUAAACCAUCUACCUACUUCCUCUAACAGUGAACAGUAGUUUUGCUCAUUUGUUUAUCUUCCUGAUCUCAUUCAGGUUUUUUGAACCAGUCAAAAUGGCGCCCCGUGAAGGAUACGAGGAUGGAAACAUCGCAGAGAAGCACAUAGCAGAGACCGGAGCGACCGGCUGGUCCACAUUCACAAAGCGUCCCAUCAGUCGGUGCUUCAGUUAUCACCGCAAACAUACAGAUGAUGAGCUACAGAUGGACACACCGAAGUUUCCCACAGCCAAGUUUCUGCUGAUGAAACACAACUGCAACCAGGAGCUGAUCGGAUCUAAAAUGGAGAAUGAAAUUGUGAAACCUCCGUGUGUGAGGACAAACAGUAGAAGGUUUCCCCCCGAUUUAUAGAUUCCACCCUGAACCUUUGAAAAGACACGUUAUGCCUAAGAUGAGGAAUGAAAUCCUUGAGAAGCUCGAUUGAUUCUUGUAAAUCUCCUGCCAAACUCAGCGGGGCAUGAAAAGCGAGACUGCCGUUACAGUUGCUGUAAAAAGUUGCUAGAAAAAGACGUAAAUGCCAACAAAAAAAAGAG
rnacentral:lncRNA from 1 species